AUUGAACGCUGGCGGCAGGCCUAACACAUGCAAGUCGAGCGAGCGGCGGACGGGUGAGUAAUGUAUGGGGACUGCCCGAUAGAGGGGGAUAACUACUGGAAACGGUGGCUAAUACCGCAUACUAUCGGAUAACCCAUAUGGGAUUAGCUUGUAGGUGGGGUAAAGGCUCACCAAGGCGACGAUCUCUAGCUGGUCGGAGAGGAUGAUCGGCCACACGGGGACUGGGACACGGCCCAGACUCCUACGGAGGCAGCAGUGGGGAAUAUGGCACAAUGGACGCAAGCCGGAUGCAGCAAUGCCGCGGGGAUGAAGAAGGCCUUAGGGUGGUAAAGUACGUUCAGCGGGGAGGCGUUACCCGCAGAGGAAGCACCGGCUAACUCCGUGCCAGCAGCCGCGGUAAUUC
rnacentral:rRNA from 1 species